ACACUGGGCAGAGGCAGAGGUCGGAAGAGCGGCUCAAAGAACCAGAUCCCGGGAGGUGGUCAUUUUGGACAGCCCUCUGCCUUCUAUGCCAUGUUGCAAGAUUUCCUCUGGAGAGGGCCUCUUGGCAAGGAACUGAUGUCUCUGGCCAGCAGCCAGCGAGGACCUAAGAUCUGUCAACAGCCAUGCAGAAGGGACAAUGAAUUGUGACUCGGAAAUUAAUCAGAUGAGACCUGAUGACUGAAGUACAUCACAGAGCUAGGAAGAGAGAUUACUAAGCAACACGGUGAGAGCUCCAUCCUCUGGGUAUUCAGCCAACUACAGAUCACUCAAAGGCAGACAUUCUGGGAUCUUCCAUCCAUCAAGCUGAACCAGAGUACAAGGCCAAAACCAGUGAAUGACAAAGCAACCCCAUGCCCAGCUUAAGAGUUUCCUCAGAGAGUUUGUCUUGUAGGAGUCAUUAGACACUAAUUUGAUUCUAUUUGCAUGUGCACACCCUGCCCUUUGCCAAACAGGGAGAGAAUCACACUUGAGAGCUAGCGCUCAGCUCAGUCUCUUCUCCACACCACGCUAGUGCACCAAGAACAAGGUUAUAGGUGUGGCAAAAAAACAAACCCUGCCAAUGCUCUAAGUAUAUGUUUGAUGUAAUCUUAUUUCUCAUAAAAUUAAGAGGAUAAUAUUUUUAGGUGAUGCAGAGUAUGAGACUGUCAUUAGGUUACUCUGAAUCUCUUUCUCUCUCUCUCUUCAUGGUAAAAAUUAAGUUCCAUUAGGAAAAUUCUUCCUCCCCUUCCUUCCUCCCAUUGGUCUUUCCUCCUAAGAUCCAGGUAGCUCUGAGAAAGUUUGUUUCAUCUAUGCGUUGGCCUGGGAAUCCUCCUCUUGUUAAUCUACACAAAUAAAAUCAUCUUAAAGAUCGAAAGCUUUUGUACAAAAAUGUCCUUCAUAGUGUUUUCUAUAUUAGCAAAAUGUUGUACAAAUAAUACAUAAUCUAACAUCUUAAAAAAGGGGAAAUGAUUAAAUAAAUUAUAGCACAAAAAUUCUGUGAGAUAUAUAGGCGAUGAUUAGAUGACAAUGUCAGGUCAGUUCAAUAAAUACAUGUUCAUUAGUUCCCAUAUGCCAGGCACUGAAAUAGGCAUCUGUCUUAUAUGUAUACAUAUGUAACAAACCUGCACGUUGUGCACAUGUACCCUAGAACUUAAAGUAUAAUUUAAAAAUAUAUAUAUAUAAAGAAAGAUAAACAAGAUAUGGACCCCUAAAGGAAACUCACUAUUUUCAGAUUGUAAGAGAAAACAUUUGGAUAUAUUAAAUUGUAAAAGAACAAUA
rnacentral:lncRNA from 1 species